GGAGCCCAGAGCGCAGAGCCAGCCGAAGGCGCCGCGCCGGCUCGGGCUCCGCCGCCGACACCCGGCUGCUGAGGUCGCCGCGAGGGUUCGGGGACGCCUGCUCACUGCGUGGCUUCUCCCGGCCAGCUGUGCAGGCGGCUGGACCAGCAGCAGCGGCGAGGACUCGAGCGCGGGCUGCAGCAGCGACACCAUGGACCUGUCCUUUAUGGCCGCACAGCUGCCCAUGAUGGGAGGCGCCUUCAUGGACUCGCCCAACGAGGACUUCAGCACUGAGUACUCCCUCUUCAACUCCUCCAACAACGUCCACGCCGCCUCCAACGGCCAGGGCCAGCCGGAGGAGCCCCCGAGGUCCUCCAACGACGCCGUCCUGCUCUGGAUCGCCAUCAUAGCGACGCUGGGGAACAUCGUGGUGGUGGGGGUGGUGUAUGCCUUCACCUUCUGAGCCGCGGGAGCUCCGGGACGGCUCACCCCGCCUCGGGCUCACAGCCGGGCGCGGUCACCUUGGCCCCUGGCCGCACCCACGUUCUAGAACCAGGCGCGUCUGGAUGUUCCCCCAGCAGCCCUGAUCUCAGAUCCUCCACGCUGUGGUCCAGCUGAUCCAGACGAUAAGGGGGCACGGGUUUCCAGCUCCUGGAGACAUGAGGGGGCCAAGCCUUAGAGGAGCAGAGUGGGGAGUUCUUGAAAGUGCAUUCCAAGGACAUGCGGCUGGAGGGAACGGCCAGUUUGGUUUGAUGACACGGAUAUGGUUGGAUGAUCAGUUGCUGGAAGACAGCGGUCACCGCUGUGUCUUCUUUUGAUGCAGACUUCUCACACCUGAGCGUGAGGGCGCGUGCAGCCCUCCAAACUGGAGUGUGCUUGCCCCCGUCUGGUGUCCUGAUCAGCCCCUCGGAAUAUUGGUGGCAGUCCCUUGAAGGGACCUAGAACAUUCUUCACUUGACUUAGAAAUGGCAACGUUGUUAUCAGACACCUGACCCUUUGUGAAACCCAAGGAUGAGGGGUUACUGGUGACGUGGAUUUUGGGGGUGGUGGUAGCAGUGGUUUUUAUCUGUGGGGUGGACACUCUUCUUUUGAAAGAGAGCAGAAGGUUACCUUGAAAAAUUAGAUCUGCCAAGCCGAUACCUCUCUGGCCACCUGCCGAAGAUGCUCUUUCUUCUCUGAGAAAUCACAGAGCUUUAGAGAUGAAGGAGGCAUGUGUGCACCUCGUUGUUUGGCAGGGAGAGGAGGAGGGGCAGGGCUGCCUGUGGUCCCAGGCACAUUAAGGCAGGGAUCAGAGUGGGAGGGAUAUUUUCUGCCUGUCCUCUCUCAGGGCUGCCUGUGUCCCAGCUAAGCGCUGUCUGGAUCAGAUUCCUGGCUCUCAGCUGCCUUGAGGAGCCUAUCCAGAGGGUCCUGAAGCUGUGAGCAGGGUGGGCGGGGCGCUAAGACACCCUCGUGCUAGACUCAGUUUGGCUACUGUAUGUUCUUGCAGGGGUGAGUCGGUUUUCUGACUCGCUUGGAAGUCAGUGGCUGGGGGGCUGCAAAUCUGGGAGCCGCCUCACUGUUGAGACCAGAGCAGGUUGGGAUGUGCCAGGGCCAGGGUGGGGGCAGAGGAGGGGGAGUGGGCAGGAUCAGAACAGGCUCACUUCUCAUCCAUCCUCAGGCAAGUUCAGGGCCCAGAGCCCCGCUUCUUGAGACAGCCCUCCCUGUGCCCCCAAGGGCGCCAGGAGCUCAGACAUGGGCUCGCUUGCCCACAGGCCAGGCGCGGGUUUUUCCCUGGCUUCCUCCCUGCGCUGCACAAAAGAAAAGAGAUGGCAGAGUUCCCGCGGUGGCUCACUAGGUUAAGAACCCACCUAGUAUCCCUGAGGAUGUGGGUUUAAUCCCUGGCCUCGCUCAGUGGGUUAAGCAUUCAGCUUUGCUUCAGGCUGUGGUGUAGGUCACAGAUGUGGCUCAGAUCUGGCGUUGCUGUGACUGCGGCCCAGGCCAGCAGCCGCAGCUCCAAUUCCACCCCACCCCAGCCUGGAAACUUCCAUAAGCCUCGGGUGUCACCGUAAAAAGAAAAAAGAAAAAAGAAAUAAAAUAGAUGGCACGAACUCCCUCUCUGUAGCUGACAAAGUUAAAAGACUGGUAAAGAAAGCCUAAUGCAUAUUCGGAGACAGUGGCCAAAAGGCUGAAUUUCUCCCUGUGGCCUCAGGAGAAAUGAGUGUCCUUGUUGACAGGCAAAGGGACAUCUGAAUUGUCCAGAGGCAGCGACUCGUCCCUGGAAGCCUGGCGCUGAGCUGCUGUGAUAACAGGAUUAUCAGCCCGACCUCCAGACAGCACUGGCAAAGGCUGCCAGCUCCUCUGGGCCGCAUCUGUCACUGCCGCCUAUGUCCCUCUGCACACGCCUCAGCCCCAGGAGCAGUCAUAAGCAUAGAGAGCUAGCGUGACCUCUGCGGAGCACAAGGAGGGAUGUGGCCCCCUCUUCCUGGACUCCUUCUGGAAUCACUAAUGGGCCCUGCUGUCUGCAGGCGGGACAGGGUGGUGGCCGUGGCGAGCAUGGUCAGGUGUUUUAGGGACCUUCUUGUCCAAACGUGCCCUCACGGGGAUCUCAGUGACCUGCUCAAAGUCCCUCCAGCCCCAGCUCCAGUGGUUUCUUUAACUCGUUCCCCAGUCGCUCAAGGAACAGGAUCACAGGG
rnacentral:lncRNA from 1 species